CUACGGGUGGCUGCAGCUAAGAAUCUUCCGCAAUGGACGAAAGUCUGACGGAGCGACGCCGCGUGAACGAUGAAGGCCGUGAGGUUGUAAAGUUCUUUUCCGAGGGGAGAAUAAGGAUGGCAGGGAAUGGCCGUCUGAUGACGUGAACUCGGGAAUAAGCCCCGGCUAACUACGUGCCAGCAGCCGCGGUAACACGUAGGGGGCGAGCGUUGUUCGGAAUCAUUGGGCGUAAAGGGUGCGCAGGCGGUUAUGCAAGUCUGGUGUGAAAGGUCUCGGCUCAACCGGGGAAACGCGCUGGAAACUGUGUAACUAGAGUAUAGGAGGGGGAGUUGGAAUUCCAGGUGUAGGGGUGAAAUCUGUAGAUAUCUGGAAGAACACCGGUGGCGAAGGCGAACUUCUGGCCAUGUACUGACGCUGAGGCACGAAGGCGUGGGGAGCAAACAGGAUUAGAUACCCGCGUAGUC
rnacentral:rRNA from 1 species